rnacentral:sRNA from 1 species
GCUGGACGUGGUGGCACGCACCUGUAGUCCCAGCUACUUGGGAGGCUGAGGCAGGAGGAUCGCUUGAGCCCAGGAGUUUGAGGCUGCAGUGAGUUAUAAUUGCACCACUGCAGUCCAGCCUGGGCAACAGAGCAAGACCCUGUCUCUA